rnacentral:rRNA from 1 species
AACCGGCGAACGGGUGCGUAACACGUGAGCAACCUACCGAACUGUGGGGGAUAGCCGGCCUAACGGCCGAGUAAUACCGCAUACGCUCUCAGAGAGGCAUUUCUUUGAGAGGAAACCUACGGGACAGAUCGAGGGGCUCGCGGCCUAUCAGCUAGUUGGCGAGGUAACGGCUCACCAAGGCAACGACGGGUAGCUGGUCUGAGAGGAUGGCCAGCCACAUUGGGACUGAGAUACGGCCCAGACUCCUACGGGAGGCAGCAGUGGGGAAUCUUGCGCAAUGGCCUAACGGCUGACGCAGCGACGCCGCGUGUGGGAUGAAGCUCUUCGGAGUGUAAACCACUGUUGCCCGGGACGAACAGCUCGAUUAAUCGAGCCUGACGGUACCGGGUGAGGAAGCACCGGCUAACUCCGUGCCAGCAGCCGCGGUAAUACGGGGGGUGCGAGCGUUGUCCGGAAUCACUGGGCGUAAAGGGCGCGUAGGUGGUUUGAUAAGGGUGUGGUGAAAGUCCGGGGCUCAACCCCGGAUCUGCCGUGCCGACUGUCAAACUCGAGGACUGUAGAGGCAGACGGAAUUCCGGGUGUAGCGGUGGAAUGCGUAGAGAUCCGG